GACGAACCGUGCGAACGUUAUUCGGAAUCACUGGGCUUAAAGCGCGUGUAGGCGGGAGGGCACGUCCGUCGCUGAAAUCCCCCGGCUCAACCGGGGAACGGGCGCGGAUACGACCUUCCUUGAGGGGCGUAGGGGGACCUGGAACUUCCGGUGGAGCGGUGAAAUGCGUUGAGAUCGGAAGGAACGCCCGCGGCGAAAGCGCGGUCCUGGACCCCACCUGACGCUGAGACGCGAAAGCCAGGGGAGCGAACGGG
rnacentral:rRNA from 1 species